rnacentral:lncRNA from 1 species
AUUUAAUUGGAACCCUCUACCAUUUUUAUUAAACAUAAACACACGCAAGUUGCUAAAAGCCUCUGAGAGACUCCUUAAGACCCCUAAUUUAAGACUUGUAGAGAAGUCUUCCAAGAUUAUACAGUGAAUGGAUUUUUCAUUUCACCAAGGGCUUGGUUUUUUUUGGUGUUUUUUUUCCCCCCAUUUAAAUGUAGUUUGAAGUGCUGCCUGGGAACAUACUGUAAUAAUUUAAAUCAUUACGCAUCUUCUGUCAGAAGCAGAGAUGUUCUGUCUGUUGCGGUCAUUAACCUGGGUGCAGAUGAUUGAAGUGAUGGGCUGUAGUCUGACAGGUCACCACUCUUGGGCAGACACUAACAUGCAGCUCUUCAAAAGGCAUUUCAUGAUCAAUCACCACAACACUCCCUGCAAAAAAAAGCCAUUUAAGUCUCUCAGUUAAGAUGCUGAAAAUCUUUAAGAGCCUCCUGCUUUUUGUCAACAGGACUCUGCAUAUUUAAAAGAUGCAUUCAAGUUUUUUCUUGUUUAAAUCUGUUGAAGCCGAUUUAGCUUUGCUGCUGCACACUGACUGAGGCUCUGUCCUCCCCUGCCUUGAGCUGGGGCUGAUUUAUGAACCAUUUACUGAAGAGUGCUCUCAAUUAUGCAUCACCACUUUUAGGGCUAUCCUGGGUUGUGGCUUGAGCCAGCUGCAGUCAGACACGCUUGGCAUCCACCUUCCCUUCUUCACCAGAUUUCGGAAUUCAGCUGACAAGCGCAGCUUCAUUACAGCUGGUGCGGGAGCAGGAAUAGCUUCAGUAUUUCGUGCCCCCAUUGGCGGGCUCUUGUUCACGCUGGAGGAGGUGUCUUCGUUCUGGGACAUCAGGCUGGCCUGGCAAACCUUCUUUUGCUGCUUGACAGCUACCUUCACCACGGAUUUGCUGUCCUCGUCACUCUAUGGCUUUGUUUACAGAGGUCACUUCGGAUUUUUUGAAGCAGAGAAAAGAAUUCUGUUUUGGGUAUGUACUGCGUGGAUGUGGAAGGAAUGAAAUGUUGGGUUUUAGGUUUGUUUCUUUCAACAUUAUUCAUGAGGGACUAGCAGGGAAUUGGGACCAAAAGGAAGUAGGAUAAUGUGUGUGUGAUUAUCAGAUCAGUGGACACGGGAGCUUUAUGCCUGGUAAUCACUUGGAUGCAAGACAGCUGUUUUGCAGUACCUACUUAAAUAGAAAAGCGCAUUUUACAUUGUAGCACAAGAUGUUCAAUGGCUUCUUCUGGGGCUGGCUUGAGCCCUCCUUUGUUGCUGUAGACAUUGCCGUACUGCGGCCCUGUUCUUUUGUGCUUAC